GAUGAAGAACGCAGCGAAAUGCGAUAAGUAAUGUGAAUUGCAGAAUUCAGUGAAUCAUCGAAUCUUUGAACGCACAUUGCGCCCGCCAGUAUUCUGGCGGGCAUGCCUGUCUGAGCGUCAUUUCAACCCUCAUGCCCCUAGGGCGUGGUGUUGGGGAUCGGCCAAAGCCCGCGAGGGACGGCCGGCCCCUAAAUCUAGUGGCGGACCCGUCGUGGCCCUCCUCUGCGAAGUAGUGAUAUUCCGCAUCGGAGAGCGAUGAGCCCCUGCCGUUAAACCCCCAACUUUCCAAGGUUGACCUCAGAUCAGGUAGGAAUACCCGCUGAACUUAAGCAUAUCAAUAAGCGGAGGA
rnacentral:misc_RNA from 1 species